GAACCUUUAAGAGUCAGCAUACUCUGGUCUUAGAAAAGCCAACUUUUACGUAGAGGUUUCAAGGGUAUUUUGAAUUCAUUUUUUAAAUUUCUCUUUUCUUUCCUGCAGGAUGUGAAGUUUGAAGAGGAAGGACUUCGUGAACACAUUCCUAUGUCAUGUUUAAAGCCUAACAAAACAUUUGAGAAAGCUCCAAGUCAAGCAUUAAUUGCAGACCUAAAUCUUUGUAAAGAAUGCAGCACAGCCAAGCAUGGUACCCUUCCAGGAGUAACCCACGAAUCAGAGGGACCAGCCUGGCCUUGGCCUCGCUGGAAGUCUCGGUCACCCCAGCCUCUACGAAUACAGGUGAAAUGCAUUCGGGGUCUCAAGAAGAAGGUUCCCCAGGGCUCUUAUUUCCUCCAAGUGUCCCUGCUUGGUCGACCAGGAGGCCGAGUCUUGCCAUGGUGCCAGAUGGAACAGCCGGGAACCAGAACACAGCCAGCGAGGCACGAAGGAAACUUUUAUAACGUGGGGCUGUAUUUCCACGAGAGCCUUUAUGUGGUACUCCCGCCUAAGAAAGAUGUGAAACCAGGCAUGGCUUUCUUGUUUGAAC
rnacentral:lncRNA from 1 species